CUCGAGAGUGACAAAGACCUCAAUGCUUCCAGAGUCUCAGAUAAACAUGUCACUCAGCUUUCAAACAAUACAGGGCUCUUCAUGUACAGAGCAAACUGUCAUUCGAUUCUGAGGAUGUCUAGACGAGGAGUCUUUCCGAGAUCCUCUGUCUCGUUUACCAUGUCUCGUUGGACAUUGCACUGGAGGUGGUCUCCACAGCCUGUGUCCGCAGGUGUCUGUACGGACGGCUCUGUAACGUAUGGGUUGGAGAUUAAGUUAUCUAAAAUAUGCAGAAUAAGGCAUUAAUAUGUGCUUUAUAAA